GAUGAACGCUGGCGGCGUGCCUAAUACAUGCCAGUCGAGCGAACAGACGAGGAGCUUGCUCCUCUGACGUUAGCGGCGGACGGGUGAGUAACACGUGGAUAACCUACCUAUAAGACUGGGAUAACUUCGGGAAACCGGAGCUAAUACCGGAUAAUAUAUUGAACCGCAUGGUUCAAUAGUGAAAGACGGUUUUGCUGUCACUUAUAGAUGGAUCCGCGCCGCAUUAGCUAGUUGGUAAGGUAACGGCUUACCAAGGCGACGAUGCGUAGCCGACCUGAGAGGGUGAUCGGCCACACUGGAACUGAGACACGGUCCAGACUCCUACGGGAGGCAGCAGUAGGGAAUCUUCCGCAAUGGGCGAAAGCCUGACGGAGCCACGCCGCGUGAGUGAUGAAGGUCUUCGGAUCGUAAAACUCUGUUAUUAGGGAAGAACAAAUGUGUAAGUAACUAUGCACGUCUUGACGGUACCUAAUCAGAAAGCCACGGCUAACUACGUG
rnacentral:rRNA from 1 species